rnacentral:lncRNA from 1 species
UUUAAUAUAAGAGUUUUUUGCAAGGACUUUUUAGCAUCUAUUCCUAGAAAAUUUUCUAUAGUGACUGAAUGCUAGAUAACCAAUCUGUCUUUAUGGGCUAGAAUUUGUCCCAUGGAAAAACAUGUUGCUUAUUGGGAAGGUUCCAUAACCUUUUCUCUUGAGUAUAAUGGUAUUUCGUCAUUGUAUAUGCCCUCACCUCUCUAAUUUUAUGAGACAGCAUGUAUUUUAGGAUGGGAGACCUGUAUUUAAUUUUGAAGGAUUUCCUUUCUCGGAGAUGAUUUCCAG